rnacentral:rRNA from 1 species
AAGGGCACCACAAGAACGCGUGGAGCAUGUGGCUUAAUUUGACUCAACGCGGGAAAUCUUACCGGGUCCGGACAUACUGAGGAUUGACAGGCAAUUGAUGAUUGUAUUGGCCUUAAAACCAAUCUGUCAUCGCUAAAUAUGCUAGUCCUUUCAUGAUUGUGUGAUAGGUGGUGCAUGGCCGUUCUUAGUUCGUGGAGUGAUCUGUCUGCUUAAUUGCGUUUCACUUAUUAAGGUCAUAAAAAGCUGUAUUGUCUUGCUGUGUCCUCUAACCUUCAUUGGUUAGUGUUUGAUGCGCGGACGCUUGCAGUAUACGUGGCCUGAAGGCAACGAACGUGACCGCAGCCUCUUGUUGCCUCUUUCAAAGUGCUUUUACCCUGCAUUUUUGUAGAGUAAUUUGCGCCAAUAGAGGCUAACUAGAGGGACCGCUUGGCAUUUUUUAAACAGAGGAAGGUUGCGGCAAUAACAGGUCUGUGAUGCCCUUAGAUGUUCCGGGCUGCACACGUGCUACAAUGAUUGUUGCAGUGAGCAUCUCGAAUUGUUAAAAAUAACCUGUUUGAUUCAUUUCGAACGGUUAUAAGCCUACUUCGAAAGUCAGUAGGUAAUCAAUUCGAAGUAACGAUUUCCACCCGCAUAUAUUUAUGUCUCGAUGCAGUGUGGCGUUCUUUGUCUUUCAUUAGUCAAUAUUGCCAUACUCUUUGAUGACAUGUGCUCCAUUAAUUCUUGGUGGGGACAGACCAUUGUUAAUUGUUGGUCUCGGUCUCAACUAGGAAUGCCUUGUACGGGUCUUUGGUUCAACAAACCACCCGGAAUAUGUCCCUGCCCUUUGUACACACCGCCCGUCGCUCUUACCGAUGGACUUCUCUGUGAGUUUGAGGGACUGGCUCUUUUAUUUUCAUUAAUAUUAGAGCUAUGGAAACUUAAACGAACAGUGUGGUCUAAAGGAAAGAGAAGUCGUAACAAGGCAUCGGUAGGUGAACCUGCAGAAGGAUCA